GACGAACGCUGGCGGCGUGCUAAACACAGCCAGGUGGAAGGGUAGGGCCCGGUUUUGGGGGGGUGCCGGGUGGGGAAAGGGGGGAGAAAAAGGGGGUUAACCGGCCCUGGAUUUUGGGUUAACUUAGGGAAACGGGGGUAAUUACGGGUAAGAGGCUCCUCUGGAUGGGGGGGGGUGGGAAGUUUCGGCGGGUGGGGAUGGGCUCGCGGCUUAUCAGCUUGUUGGUGGGGUAGUGGCUUACCAAGGCUUUGACGGGUAGCCGGCCUGAGAGGGUGACCGGCCACAUUGGGACUGAGAUACGGCCCAGACUCCUACGGGAGGCAGCAGUGGGGAAUAUUGCACAAUGGGCGGAAGCCUGAUGCAGCAACGCCGCGUGCGGGAUGACGGCCUUCGGGUUGUAAACCGCUUUCGCCUGUGACGAAGCGUGAGUGACGGUAAUGGGUAAAGAAGCACCGGCUAACUACGUG
rnacentral:rRNA from 1 species